rnacentral:rRNA from 1 species
GGAUUAGAUACCCUGGUAGUCCACGCCCUAAACGAUGUGUGCUAGUUGUCGGGGUCUUACGACUUCGGUGACGCAGCUAACGCAUUAAGCACACCGCCUGGGGAGUACGGCCGCAAGGUUAAAACUCAAAGGAAUUGACGGGGACCCGCACAAGCGGUGGAGCAUGUUGUUUAAUUCGAAGCAACGCGAAGAACCUUACCCACACUUGACAUCCUGGUCGCGGAUUUCAGAGAUGAUUUCCUUCAGCUCGGCUGGACCAGUGACAGGUGCUGCAUGGCUGUCGUCAGCUCGUGCCG